GAUGAACGCUGGCGGCGUGCCUAAUACAUGCAAGUCGAGCGAACGGACGAGAAGCUUGCUUCUCUGAUGUUAGCGGCGGACGGGUGAGUAACACGUGGAUACCCUACCUAUAAGACUGGGAUAACUUCGGGAAACCGUAGCUAAUACCGGAUAAUAUUUUGAACCGCAUGGUUCAAAAGUGAAAGACGGUCUUUCUGUCACUUAUAGAUGGAUCCGCGCUGCAUUAGCUAGUUGGUAAGGUAACGGCUUACCAAGGCAACGAUGCAUAGCCGACCUGAGAGGGUGAUCGGCCACAUUGGAACUGAGCCACGGUCCAGACUCCUACGGGAGGCAGCAGUAGGGAAUCUUCCGCAAUGGGCGAAAGCCUGGCGGAGCAACGCCGCGUGAGUGAUGAAGGUCUUCGGAUCGUAAAACUCUGUUAUUAGGGAAGAACAUAUGUGUAAGUAACUGUGCACAUCUUGACGGUACCUAAUCAGAAAGCCACGGCUAACUACGUG
rnacentral:rRNA from 1 species